CCUGCAUCAUCAUCUUAACUCAUCAUCACCUUGGUGGGAAGAAUCUCUCUCUUAGCCCCCCUCUCAGUCGCUCCGCUCGCCAAAGCCAGAACUGCUUCUUAUCCUCAGUAUCAAACAGAUGAGACUAAAACAGUCCACAUCAUCCACACUCACAUCUGCUAUUUGUCUGUCUGUUGGUGUUUGUGUGUCUCUUGGGUCUGUGUGUGUCUCUUGGGUUGACUUUGUAGUUAACUCUUUAAUACCUAAGUGAUGUUGGCCAGCAGAGAUCAAUGUAUUCAAUUCAAUGAUUGAAUAGAGAAACUGACAGUCAAAGGCAUGUCUGGAAAUAAAAUGACAACGCGAAGGUGCCUUCUGAGGUGUAUACUACAAAGCAGAUUCAAUGAGUUAGCCAGCUAACUUUGAUAAACAACUAGAAAUAACUGAUGAUUUUCUGGUUCAAGCUAAACAAAGAUACAUGUAUGUGUUUUUGGUUGUUGAGUCAAUGAGACAAUGGCAAUUUCAAGAUAAUCUUUCUGAAAACGUUCAACAUUUUCAGAAUAUUCAGGCUCCUUGAUCCUGCUUUGUAGUAUACCCCUCUGUUCUGCAGUGUUUUUGUUGGUAAACAGAAAACACUUAACUGCCUCCACAAAAUAAUAGAUUCACAUAUACCUAUACAGACCACUUUCAAUUGUUCACCAUCAUCACCUACUGUACCACAGAGAAGUUGAACUGGAAACAGUUAUGUAGAUACCGAUUCCGUGACCUUCACUGGUUUAAGUCAAUAGCCACUGGCACCUACUUGCCCAAGCAUCAAUUUGGCAAAUAUCAUCAUGCAGAAAUCUAUUCGCAGCCCAUGCUUUGAAUGACCCAGAAUUAUCACCUGGAUCCGCAUGUCAUUUCCCCAGUCAAUGCACCAUCCGCCUGACAUGAAUAUGAAGUCAGGACUGAACUGUAGCAUAUGCACAAAGCCAGUGUCAACUUGAAUAGCCCGUCAAAUACGGUCCAUGGUUUUGGGUCCCAAAAUAGAAUGACUGAGUGAGUCACACAGACACAGACCUAAGUAAUGGCCUUAUCUCUGUGCCUCUACAGUGGGUUAGAGAGGAAGUAACAGUCAGCCUCUGUCUUUAUCUACAAUACUACCGCCAGGUCAUAGGUCAUCCCUCUAAGCCUCCAUUAUACAACCACAGAAACUGCACUUCCCAGUAGUCUUUGCAAUAAGGACGGCAUUUAAAAUUCCUUGGACGCUUCUGGGGCCCCAAACUCUCCUCCUCG
rnacentral:lncRNA from 8 species